UGAAUACGAGACGCUAAGGCGUCGAAGUAGUGUAUGUCAUACUUCCAAGAAAAGCUUGCACUGUCAUAAAUAAAAGAUGCCUGUACCAUAACCGACACAGGUGGGUAAGUAGAGUAUACUAAGGGGCGCGAGAUAACUCUCUCUAAGGAACUCGGCAAAAUAACUCCGUAACUUCGGGAGAAGGAGUGCCUUAUUCUUAAGGUUGCAAUAACAAGAUCCAAGCAACUGUUUAUCAAAAACACAGGUCUCCGCUAAGUCGUAAGACGAUGUAUGGGGGCUGACGCCUGCCCAGUGCCAGAAGGUUAAAGAAGUCGGUUAGCAAUAGCGAAGCUGGUAACUGAAGCCCUGGUGAACGGCGGCCGUAACAAUAACGGUCCUAAGGUAGCGAAAUUCCUUGUCGGGUAAGUUCCGACCCGCACGAAAGGCGUAAUGAUUUGGAUGCUGUCUCGGAGAGAGGCUCGGUGAAAUAGACUUGUCUGUGAAGAUGCGGACUACCUGCACCAGGACAGAAAGACCCUAUGAAGCUUUACUGUAACUUGAAAUUGAAAUUGGACUUUACUCGCGCAGUAUAGGUGGGAGGCGUUGAUUAUAAUCUCGUGGGAUUAUUGGAGCCAUCAGUGAGAUACCACUCUUGUAAUGUUAGAUUUCUAACUUUGAAUCAUUAUCUGGUCAAAGGACAGUUUCAGGCGGGCAGUUUGACUGGGGCGGUCGCCUCCUAAACGGUAACGGAGGCGUACAAAGGUUUCCUCUGAACGGUUAGAAAUCGUAUCUAGAGUGUAAAGGCAUAAGGAAGCUUGACUGUGAGACCUACAAGUCGAGCAGGGACGAAAGUCGGUCUUAGUGAUCUGACGGUACUGAGUGGAAAGGCCGUCACUCAACGGAUAAAAGUUACUCUAGGAUAACAGGCUGAUCUCCCCCAAGAGUUCACAUCGACGGGGAGGUUUGGCACCUCGAUGUCGGCUCAUCGCAUCCUGGGGCGGUAGUACGUCCCAAGGGUUGGGCUGUUCGCCCAUGGAAGCGGUACGCGAGCUGGGUUCAGAACGUCGUGAGACAGUUCGGUCCAUAUCCGGUGUAGGCGCUAGAAUAUUGAGAGGAGCCUUCUUUAGUACGAGAGGACCGAGAAGGACAUACCUCUGGUGUACCAGUUAUCGUGCCAACGGUAAACGCUGGGUAGCUAUGUAUGGAGUGGAUAACCGCUGAAAGCAUCUAAGUGGGAAGCCCACCU
rnacentral:rRNA from 1 species